UACAGAGGUCUCAAGCGUUGUUCGGAUUCAUUGGGCGUAAAGGGUGUGUAGGUGGCGCCGUAAGUCGGGUGUGAAAUUUCGGAGCUUAACUCCGAAACUGCAUUCGAUACUGCGGUGCUUGAGGACUGGAGAGGAGACUGGAAUUCAUGGUGUAGCAGUGAAAUGCGUAGAGAUCAUGAGGAAGACCAGUGGCGAAGGCGGGUCUCUGGACAGUUCCUCACACUGAGACACGAAGGCCAGGGGAGCAAACGGG
rnacentral:rRNA from 1 species